ACGGUCCUAAGGUAGCGAAAUUCCUUGUCGGGUAAGUUCCGACCUGCACGAAUGGCGUAAUGAUGGCCAGGCUGUCUCCACCCGAGACUCAGUGAAAUUGAACUCGCUGUGAAGAUGCAGUGUACCCGCGGCAAGACGGAAAGACCCCGUGAACCUUUACUAUAGCUUGACACUGAACAUUGAGCCUUGAUGUGUAGGAUAGGUGGGAGGCUUUGAAGUGUGGACGCCAGUCUGCAUGGAGCCGGCCUUGAAAUACCACCCUUUAAUGUUUGAUGUUCUAACGUUGGCCCCUGACCGGGGUUGCGGACAGUGUCUGGUGGGUAGUUUGACUGGGGCGGUCUCCUCCUAAAGAGUAACGGAGGAGCACGAAGGUUGGCUAAUCCUGGUCGGACAUCAGGAGGUUAGUGCAAUGGCAUAAGCCAGCUUGACUGCGAGCGUGACGGCGCGAGCAGGUGCGAAAGCAGGUCAUAGUGAUCCGGUGGUUCUGAAUGGAAGGGCCAUCGCUCAACGGAUAAAAGGUACUCCGGGGAUAACAGGCUGAUACCGCCCAAGAGUUCAUAUCGACGGCGGUGUUUGGCACCUCGAUGUCGGCUCAUCACAUCCUGGGGCUGAAGUAGGUCCCAAGGGUAUGGCUGUUCGCCAUUUAAAGUGGUACGCGAGCUGGGUUUAGAACGUCGUGAGACAGUUCGGUCCCUAUCUGCCGUGGGCGCUGGAGAACUGAGGGGGGCUGCUCCUAGUACGAGAGGACCGGAGUGGACGCAUCACUGGUGUUCGGGUUGUCAUGCCAAUGGCACUGCCCGGUAGCUAAAUGCGGAAGAGAUAAGUGCUGAAAGCAUCUAAGCACGAAACUUGCCCCGAGAUGAGUUCUCCCUGACUCCUUGAGAGUCCUGAAGGAACGUUGAAGACGACGACGUUGAUAGGCCGGGUGUGUAAGCGCAGCGAUGCGUUGAGCUAACCGGUACUAAUGAACCGUGAGGCUUAACCUU
rnacentral:rRNA from 1 species